CUUUGUCUGGCUCCGGUGAAAAGGGAAGCAGGUGGAAGUCCUGCACGAACCCGUCGCUGUAAUAGAGGAGUCCUGCUUUGCCGCAAGGUUUCACUCACUGAAAACAUCAUUGUUUUUGGGAAGAGAAAGCAGGGUGAGGAUACUUAAGUCAGAAGACCUGCCCGUAACG
rnacentral:ncRNA from 1 species